rnacentral:rRNA from 1 species
AACGAACGCUGGCGGCAGGCUUAACACAUGCAAGUCGAGCGCGUAGCAAUACGAGCGGCAGACGGGUGGGUAACACGUGGGGAUCUGCCCGAUGGUACGGAAUAACUCAGGGAAACUUGUGCUAAUACCGUAUGUGCCCGCAAGGGGAAAGAUUUAUCGCCAUCGGAUGAACCCGCGUCAGAUUAGCUAGUUGGUGUGGUAAAGGCGCACCAAGGCGACGAUCUGUAGCUGGCCUGAGAGGAUGAUCAGCCACACUGGGACUGAGACACGGCCCAGACUCCUACGGGAGGCAGCAGUGGGGAAUAUUGGACAAUGGGCGCAAGCCUGAUCCAGCCAUGCCGCGUGAGUGAUGAAGGCCUUAGGGUUGUAAAGCUCUUUCGCCGACGAAGAUAAUGACGGUAGUCGGAGAAGAAGCCCCGGCUAACUUCGUGCCAGCCGCCGCCGUAAGAC